rnacentral:lncRNA from 1 species
UUAAGCUACUAUUAUUAUUAUCAUCUUUUGUAGUUCCACUUCAGGCUGUAGACCCUGUUUGUGCUGGAUACAGCAUUAAGUGUGUAACAAACCUGAGUGCUUGACCUGAGGAAUCUCACUGCUCUGCCUCGAGGAAUGAUUUCUACUUGAAGGCAACAGAAUCUCCAUCAAGCCUGCAUCUACGGUCUCACAGCACAGAGAAAAGAAAUCCUGAUUAAAUCUGACAAUUU